rnacentral:rRNA from 1 species
CUCAAGCUCCAGCCCUAUGCUCAAUCAUCGGUGGCCAACAGACCAUGCGCCAAGCUGGCAUACAAGUACUUUGGGCCGUUCAAGGUGCUCGCCAAGAUCGGCAAGCUGGCGUACAAGUUGUAGCUCCCGGCGGACAGGAAGAUCCACCCUGUCUUCCACGUGUCGCAGCUCAAGCCGUUCACCCCCAACUACUCUCCAGUCUUCUCCGAGCUGCCACGACCUCCGAACCUCACCAGAAAUGAUGAUGAUCCCAUGGAGAUCGUGGAGCGCCGCAUGGUCAAGCGGGGCAACAGCGCUCUGGUGCAGAUCAAGGUUCGCUGGAAGAACAACGACACAGCCACAACUUGGGAGGAAUACGACACUCUUUGCCGCCGUUUUCCGCAAGCCCCAACAUGGGACGGCGACAUGGAGCAGCAAGCAGUCCCUUAA